rnacentral:rRNA from 1 species
UAGUUGCUACGGUAAGGCCGAGCACUUUAGCCGAACUGCCGUUGACAAAACGGAGGAAGGCGGGGAUGACGUCAAAUCAUCAUGCCCUUUAUGUCCUGGGCUACACACGUGCUACAAUGGCCUGUACAAAGGGCAGCAAAGGGGCGACCCGGAGCAAAUCCCAAAAAGCCGUCCACAGUUCGGAUUGGAGUCUGCAACUCGACUCCAUGAAGCCGGAAUCGCUAGUAAUCGUGGAUCAGCAUGCCACGGUCGAAUACGUUCCGGCCUU